rnacentral:lncRNA from 1 species
UUAACAUAAACAUGUGCUCCAAUGAGCAAAGGAAAAAGCAAAUGAAUAAUAUGUGCAAGAAUGGUAAAUUGCAUAAAAGUAAAGUGCAUAAAAUAAAUGUUAAUUGUUAGUAGUUAAUAGUUAGUGUGCCAUAAGGCAAAUUUAGCGCUAUGUUAAGCAAUCAUAAUUGGACUUAUAUAGAAGUCACAACUAUCUGAGGCCGUUCAAUAAUAAUGUAGGCAACAACACAAGUUAAAAGUCUUGAUUAGUGAACCAAGUU